rnacentral:rRNA from 1 species
UGGGGAAUAUUGCACAAUGGGCGCAAGCCUGAUGCAGCCAUGCCGCGUGUGUGAAGAAGGCCUUCGGGUUGUAAAGCACUUUCAGCGGGGAGGAAGGCGAUAAGGUUAAUAACCUCAUCGAUUGACGUUACCCGCAGAAGAAGCACCGGCUAACUCCGUGCCAGCAGCCGCGGUAAUACGGAGGGUGCAAGCGUUAAUCGGAAUUACUGGGCGUAAAGCGCACGCAGGCGGUCUGUCAAGUCGGAUGUGAAAUCCCCGGGCUCAACCUGGGAACUGCAUGCGAAACUGGCAGGCUAGAGUCUUGUAGAGGGGGGUAGAAUACCAGGUGUAGCGGUGAAAUGCGUAGAGAUCUGGGGGAAUACCGGUGGCGAAGGCGGCCCCCUGGACAAAGACUGACGCUCAGGUGCGAAAGCGUGGGGAGCAAACAGG